AUCAAUAAGCGGAGGAAAAGAAAAUAACAAUGAUACCCUUAGUAGCGGCGAGCGAAGUGGGUAAAGCUCAAGUUUAAAACCUGUUUGUCCUAGACAAACCGGAUUGUAAACUAAGGACGUGCUAUCCAGGCUCUUUGGACCUUCAAGUCCUUUGGAAUAAGGCUUCACAGAGGGUGACAAUCCCGUAGAGGGUCUUGAAAGAGUCUAUUGCGAUGCAUGCUCCAAGAGUCAGGUUGUUUGGGAAUGCAGCCUAAAGUGGGAGGUAAAUCCCUCCUAAAGCUAAAUAUUGGCGAGAGACCGAUAGCAAACAAGUACCGUGAGGGAAAGUUGAAAAGGACUUUGAAAAGAGAGUCAAAAGUACGUGAAAUUGCUUAAAGGGAAGCGUUUGGAGCUAGUUUGGCUAGUCUGUUAUCAGCCUGAGCUUCGGCUUUGGUGUACUAUCAGGCUAUUUGCCGGCCAACUUUCAGGAUUGGAAGGAAAGCUUAGUGCUUUGGAGUCUAAAGAGACCUUUGCGGAAGCCUCUGGUGGAGCGUUGGUCUGCCUUGGCCCUUCUGAACCUAUAGUUGGCUUAAUGGCUCUAAACGGC
rnacentral:rRNA from 1 species